rnacentral:lncRNA from 1 species
AUGAAAGUGUCACUCCACAAUACAAUAGAAAAAUAUAUAAAUAUAUAUAUAAAUAUAUAUAUAUAUAGAUAUAUAUACAUAUGUGUGUGUAUUUCUUGCCAUAUACCCUCCCUUUCAAAUGUUAACUAUUUCUCACCUGCAUCAGGUAAACUCCUUGUACAGGUUAUUUGCUCCCUGUCCAGCCGAACCUGUUCCGUUAGCAAGGAGUGACGCGCACAAGCGAAAAGACAAAACAGGUGCAUGCAGAAACACCCUCACACAUAUGCGAGAUCUUACCGAAUCGUGGUGUUGUACAUUCUGUUAAUGCAACUGAAUUUUCCUUUCCUUCUGAAUAUUUGUGUUUCAUUUCAGUCUUAGUUUGACUUUCUUGUGCUCUGAGGCGGUGUUACAGACGGGUGACAGUAACAGUAGUGCUCUGGUGGAGUUCUGGGCUACGACUAAGUUUAUUGCAGUCAGGUUCUGAGGAUCUGUUUUGCUUUUCAGUGUGUUAUUAUUCUAAGUGAUUGUACUAUUAUGUAAUGUUAUGUAGGAGAGGUGUUAUGUAUACAUACAUUCAAUAAAGCAUUCAGGGUUUUAAACUAUGCAGAGUAAGUCAUCACUUUUGUUAGAUGAAUGGUUGAUCCGAAAGGAAUGCUGAUGGAAUUUCUUUCAUAAUUAGAAAUCUUUAUGACUUUUAAAGAUUUUGAUCAUUUCAAAAUUACAGACCUGGAAAGUCCCGGUAAAUAAUUUUACUUUCUUUCUUAGUUCGUUUUUCAUGAAUGUGGGAACACUGUAUCCAGUAGUAUUAGUCAGAGUUAUAGUUAACUAAAACCAUUAAGAAAGUGUCUCAGAUACAAAGGUAUCCUAGGUUUCUUGAGAUAACGUUGUAUCAGUUUAGCUGAAGUUUUGAGAAAACUCAGUUUCUCUGAAAUACUGAAGCCUGCUUGAAUCAGGUUUGUGCAGCUGCCCAAACAAAUGGCAUUUUAGCCCGCCAAAACGGGUGAAGCCAUCUGCCUAUAUAAAGCCCCUUUCGAACUGCGAUUUCGGAUAAUACACGGGUAAUGUGUCCCGGCAAUUGUUCCCGGGUCGCUAGAUUUUGCACAUUCACACUGCCAGUGAUUACCCGGAAUAUGUGUGUGUGCGUUCACACACAAGCCAUAAAGGUCCCGUAAAGACAUGUGAUAUCAGGGUGUGACGUGUAAUGCAUGAGUCGAAAACGCUAGGCACGUUAACUUUCACUUAAGCUGGUGAACAAUCUCAGCUUCAGCGCGGAAAGUGAGGAACUAACUGGUCUCUGCUUCGUUACAGUUUGCACAUAUUUGUUUCAUCGCGAACGUUGAUCUGCCUUCAAAACACGCUAAAAGAAUCGUACGAUAACGUGCGUCAUCACUACAACACGGCAUUAGUUCUGGCUUUUGUUCACACAGCGCUCAUUCCGGGACUGAACCUGGCAAUGUUACUAGGUCCCCGACCCGGGAUCAAUCACGGAAUCAAUCUCGGAACGUGUUUGCGUUCACACAGAAGGCAACCCUCUACGUCACCGACCUGUGACCAGAAUCGCUUGUUAUCACUUGCAGAAGAAGAUUGUUGAUCUCUUCUGCUGACCACUGCUGAACUGAAUAGAAUAGAAUAAGACUAUUGGCUCCUUUCAAACUGCAGUCUGUAGUGGAAGCUCCACCUACUGACAUCAUAGGUACCCUUGUUCGAGACAAGUAAGGUUUCAGGGCCAGUUCGAAACCAGGAUCUGGGCACCGGCCCAGGAUUUUUAUGAGUGGAAAAAUGUGGUCCGAUUCCCAAUUGGACUCCGGCGGAAAAGCGGUAUAUGAGGUUCAGGUCAUGAGGCCAGAGUCCUCAUGUCAAAACGCCCUAAGCAGGCCUGACCACUGCUGGGGUCAUAGGCUGUUUAAGUGGACAAAAUCCUUGCCUGAAGGGCAAAGAUGUUCAGGCUGGCAAAUAUAGACGGUGAGGACCAGCCAGAAACAGAAAGCUGCUCUGAUUGCUGAAACUGGCUAAGAGCACUCCACAUAAACUCUGAGAGCCCGGACCGUGCAAGUGCAAACCCUGCUCAUCCUCAGAAGCGGAAAGUGUGGAAAGGGGAAUGACCUGUGCUUUGAACAGAGUAGAGAGCAGCUUACCCUAGAGGCACAUUGCUGUGAGUGUACGAGAGUAUAGUUCACUGUGAUGGCUAUGGAUUGGCCAAGGAGCUGUAUCAUCUUGGGGAACCACAACUGGUUCCACCAGAGUGGGGCCACUAGAAGGAAAGAGCAUAUGUCUUCCCUGGUUUAUCUGAUGACUUGAGGAAGAACAGCAACUGGGGAAAGGUAUAUAGUCUCAAACUGGGCCACUUAUGGAUAAUGCAUCCUUUUUCUUAGAGAAAAGUAUUGAACAGUGAGAGUUGUCUUCUGAGUUGUCUAACCUCUACUCUCCCAAAGACACACUAAAUAAUUUGAACCAUCUGGGAUGAAGUCUCCAUCCCCUGGAGACACACCAGUCCGGACAACAUGUCCACUUCCUGGUUCAAUCUGCCUGCCACAUGCACUGCCUUCAGCAAACAAAGGUCGUUUUGUGCCCAAAUGAGUAGUCACUCUUGGUGGUUUAUGUAGGCUUCCACUGUCGUGUUAUCUGAAUAGACCAUGACAUGGUGACCCUUCAGGUUUGGCUGGAAGGCUCUGAGUGCCAGAAAAACUGUUAUCAUUUCCAGGCAAUUAUUAUGCCAACAUUGCUUCAGGCUUGACCAGGACCCGAACACUGGCCUGCCCUCACACAGAGCUCCCCAACCUGUGUUGGAGGUGUCUGUUGUGACUACCUUCCUCCUGGAGAUGAGCCUCAAAUCCAUCCCUGUCCGGUACAGAAAAGGGUCUUUCCGAGGGGCCAGGGCCUUGAUACAGCUGUGGGACACCUUGAGAUUGAAGUGUCCCAAAGGGGAGAGGGUCGCAUCCACACACUUUGUAAAAGUGCACGGUGCCAAAGACAGUCCGAAUGGAAGGACAGUAUACUGGUAAGCCACCUCUUCGAACGUGAAUCACAAAAACGGUCUGAGAUUAGGAGCUAUCUUGAAAUGAAAGUAUGCAUCUUUCAGAUCCUACGACAAAAACCAA